UGGGGAAUUUUGCACAAUGGGGGAAACCCUGAUGCAGCGACGCCGCGUGAUUUAGAAGGCCUUCGGGUUGUAAAAAUCUUUUUUACGGGAUGAAAAUGACAGUACCGUAAGAAUAAGGUCCGGCUAAAUACGUGCCAGCAGCCGCGGUAAUACGUAUGGACCGAGCGUUGUCCGGAAUCAUUGGGCGUAAAGGGUACGUAGGCGGCCUAGUAAGUUAGAAGUGAAAUAAUAUAGCUCAACUAUAUAAAGCUUUUAAAACUGCUAGGCUUGAGAGAUGGAAGGGAAAGUGGAAUUCCUAGUGUAGCGGUGAAAUGCGCAGAUAUUAGGAAGAAUACCGGUGGCGAAGGCGACUUUCUGGUCAUCAUCUGACGCUGAGGUACGAAAGCGUGGGUGGCAAACAGG
rnacentral:rRNA from 1 species